rnacentral:rRNA from 1 species
CUACGGGAGGCAGCAGUGGGGAAAUUUCCGCAAUGGGCGAAAGCCUGACGGAGCAACGCCGCGUGAGGGAUGAAGGCCUCUGGGCUGUAAACCUCUUUUAUCAAGGAAGAAGAUCUGACGGUACUUGAUGAAUAAGCCACGGCUAAUUCCGUGCCAGCAGCCGCGGUAAUACGGGAGUGGCAAGCGUUAUCCGGAAUUAUUGGGCGUAAAGCGUCCGCAGGCGGUCUGUCAAGUCUGCUGUUAAAGCGUGGAGCUUAACUCCAUUUCGGCAGUGGAAACUGACAGACUAGAGUGUGGUAGGGGCAGAGGGAAUUCCCGGUGUAGCGGUGAAAUGCGUAGAUAUCGGGAAGAACACCAGUGGCGAAGGCGCUCUGCUGGGCCAUAACUGACGCUCAUGGACGAAAGCCAGGGGAGCGAAAGGGAUUAGAUACCCCUGUAGUCCUGGCCGUAAACGAUGAACACUAGGUGUCGGGGGAAUCGACCCCCUCGGUGUCGUAGCCAACGCGUUAAGUGUUCCGCCUGGGGAGUACGCACGCAAGUGUGAAACUCAAAG